rnacentral:rRNA from 1 species
UACGGAGGGGGCUAGCGUUGUUCGGAAUUACUGGGCGUAAAGCGCGCGUAGGCGGGCUGUUAAGUCGGGGGUGAAAUCCCGGGGCUCAACCCCGGAACGGCCUCCGAUACUGGCAGCCUUGAGGUCGGGAGAGGUGAGUGGAAUGGCGAGUGUAGAGGUGAAAUUCGUAGAUAUUCGCCGGAACACCGGUGGCGAAGGCGGCGCACUGGCCCGAUACUGACGCUGAGGUGCGACAGCGUGGGGAGCAAACAGG